GGUGCUUAAGCCACAGAAACUGUAAGCAAGUGACACUCAUCCAGGGAGAAGUCACUUGCUUACAGUUUCUGUGGCUUAGCCAUC
rnacentral:pre_miRNA from 1 species